rnacentral:lncRNA from 1 species
CUUUAUGACUUAUCUGUAGUCUUGCCUCGUUAUUCUCUGAAGUCCUAAAAGACUUUUGCCUCUCCAUAACUUCUUCUAUCUCUUUUUCCCCACCUUGAUGUAUUUCAGCAGAUCUUGCUUCCUUUCCUGCUCAGGCACCUGUGUGGAUAUAAUUUGAGGAGUGGCAGGCAAAGCAGAUGGAGAUGGAGACUAUGAAAUGCCAUAGCCAAGUAACAAAGGCUUGACAUUUUCAAUGGAUAUUUGACCUGGAAGCUUUCGAGGAUGAUGGUGAUUUUCAUGAGUGUUGAUCACCAUUGGGUCCAGUACCUGAAGGAGCAAGACAGCUAGCCCCCAGUGAACAACAGUGUGCCCUAUUGAUUGAAGACAAGUGAAAAAAGUUACAAAUUUGGCUCAAUUUGACUGGGCAUUUUUUUAAUAAGAGAUUUUUUUCCUUUAUAAAAAUAACAUCAACUUUUAAAUAGUAAAGAACAUGUAUUUUCUAAGCCAGGAAGUAAUAGCUUGUAACAUCUGAGUACAUCGCCCCUUUAGUAAUGUACAUAAUAUUAUUUUAUAACAAAAUUGACAUCUCAUUUAUAUAUCAUUUUAUUCUCUGUUGAUUUUUCAUUUAAAAAUUAAAAAGUGUACUCCAUAUAAUGUUCUUUGAUAAC